GGCGAACGCUGGCGGCGUGCUUAACACAUGCAAGUCGAACGGUGAAGCCCUUCGGGGUGGCUCAGUGGCGAACGGGUGAGUAACACGUGAGCAACCUGCCCCUGGCUCUGGUACAACCACUGGAAACGGUGGCUAAUACCGGAUACGUCCCGCCUCGGCACCGAGUGUGGGUGGAAAGUUUUUCGGCUGGGGAUGGGCUCGCGUCCUAUCAUCUUGUUGUUGAGGUGAAGGAUCACCAAGGCGAAGACGGGUAGCCGUCCUGAGAGGGCGACCGGGCACACUGGGACUGAGACACGGACCAGAGUGCUACGGGAGGCAGCAGUGGGGAAUAUUGCACAAUGGGCGAGAGCCUGAUGCAGAGACGCCGCGUGAGGGAUGACGGCCUUCGGGGUGUAAAACUCAGUAAGCUCCGAAGAAGCGAAAGUGACGGUAGGAGAAGAAGAAGCACCGGCUAACUACGUG
rnacentral:rRNA from 1 species